rnacentral:rRNA from 1 species
GACGAACGCUGGCGGCGUGCUUAACACAUGCAAGUCGAACGGGAUAAUUUGAGAGCUUGCUCUUCGAGAAUCUAGUGGCAAACGGGUGAGUAACACGUAGACAACCUGCCGACAGGAUGGGGACAACAUUCCGAAAGGAAUGCUAAUACCGAAUGAAGCGGAGGAGAGGCAUCUCUCCUCCGUGAAAGAUGGCCUCUGAAUAUGCUAUCACCUGUCGAUGGGUCUGCGUCUGAUUAGCUAGUUGGUGAGGUAACGGCUCACCAAGGCGACGAUCAGUAGCCGGUCUGAGAGGAUGAACGGCCACAUUGGGACUGAGACACGGCCCAGACUCCUACGGGAGGCAGCAGUGGGGAAUCUUCCGCAAUGGGCGCAAGCCUGACGGAGCAACGCCGCGUGAGUGAAGAAGGUCUUCGGAUCGUAAAGCUCUGUUGACGGGGACGAACGUGCGAAGGGUGAAUAAUCCUUUGUAAUGACGGUACCUGUCGAGGAAGCCACGGCUAACUACGUG